AGAAUCAACGCUGGCGGCGUGCCUAACACAUGCAAGUCGAACGAGAAAGUGGGAGCAAUCCCACGAGUAAAGUGGCGCACGGGUGAGUAACACGUGACUAACCUACCCUUGAGUGGGGGGAUAACCUAGGGAAACCUGGGCUAAUACCGCAUAAUACCUACGGGUCAAAGGAGCAAUUCGCUUUAGGAGGGGGUCGCGGCAGAUUAGUUAGUUGGCGGGGUAAUGGCCCACCAAGACAGUGAUCUGUAUCCGGCCUGAGAGGGCGCACGGACACACUGGAACUGAAACACGGUCCAGACUCCUACGGGAGGCAGCAGUGGGGAAUUUGCGCAAUGGGGGAAACCCUGACGCAGCAACGCCGCGUGGAGGAUGAAGCCCCUUGGGGCGUAAACUCCUUUCGAUCGGGAAGAUAAUGACGGUACCGAAGAAGAAGCCCGGCUAACUCGUGCCAGCAGCCGC
rnacentral:rRNA from 1 species